rnacentral:rRNA from 1 species
UGAGGAAUAUUGGUCAAUGGGCGGAAGCCUGAACCAGCCAUCCCGCGUGAAGGAAGAAGGCCUUAUGGGUUGGAAACUUCUUUUCAGUUUGAAGAAUAAGCUUGUCGUGACAAGUGAUGCCGGUAGGACAGGAAUACGCAUCGGCUAACUCCGUGCCAGCAGCCGCGGUAAUACGGAGGAUGCAAGCGUUAUCCGGAUUUAUUGGGUUUAAAGGGUGCGCAGGUGGUUUAAUAAGUCAGUGGUGAAAGUCUGCCGCUUAACGGUAGGAUUGCCAUUGAUACUGUUGGACUUGAAUAUGGAUGAGGUAGGCGGAAUGUGUAGUGUAGCGGUGAAAUGCUUAGAUAUUACACAGAACACCGAUUGCGAAGGCAGCUUACUAAUCCAUGAUUGACGCUGAGGCACGAGAGCGUGGGGAUCAAACAG